ACUAUUAGAUUGAAUAUGUCAUAAAUGCAGGAAGUAGGAUGCAAAUUGAACUACACUGAAUUAUCAGUACCCUCAGGAUUACGCGAACAAAAAUUAAUUUUCGCCUCUUUGCGUGCCAUGCACAUCUAUGCGUAGUGGAAUAAACUAUUGAAACACGUGUGAUGGUCUUAAUUAGGUCCUAACAUUGAUAAUUAUGUAAUACUAAAUAUUGUGAUCUGAUCAAAAAAGACUUUUGUCACAGGUAGCUUGAAGCUGACGUAAGGUAGUGUGUUAUCUAUGAAGAAGUACGACAUGCUCACUUUGUGGCCUAAUCAAAAUGGCGACGUGUGGUGAUGAGCAGUAGUUUAGGAACAUCUUUAAAACUAAUGGCAUUUUUGAAGCGUUUGUAUCAAAUUUUUUACAUAUUCAUCAGAGAACUUUGGACUAAUUGUAGUAAUACCAAUCAGGUCAUAACGCUAUAAUAGUUGUCAGCUUUAACCAAUGUGUUCGGAGUGCCUUACGUUUUUUGCUUAUGUAUGUAUUUUGUGGUAGUGCAUCAGCUAUGGAAUUGUUCUUGGCGAUUAUUUCCAUAAUUUCAGCACUUCUGCUAGUGUUGACCCUUGUGGGCUUAGGUGAGAAUGGAACUUUGGGUUCACUGUGCCUCAUUUGUAUAUCAUGCAUGCAGACAUGGACACUUGUUUGCCAGUAGUUAGAGAAGCUUAGGAUGUACGGUACAGCCUUCCAUGUACACAGCUUAAAAAUACUGGUUCCUUCCGUGGUUGUAACGUGAAAUGAUUUUUGCCGCGUGCAAUAUAUCACGUCAGAACAUUCGUAUGUGUCUUAUUUGUACAAUGCAGUUUACUUGUUACUAUACCAACUUUGUAGAAAGGAGGAACAGGAUGGAACAACACACCAUAGACCAACAGCAUACAGUUCAACAAGUGAGCAAAUCACAAUGGAAUAACGAAAAUUACAAUUGCUUAACACCCAGUUGCCAUACAAUUUUUCAGGAUUGUUACCUGCUUUUUCUAUAUGGAUAAUUGAUAUGGUGGAGCCUAAAUCAUGUAUGGAAGAAACAACGAUGUGUACGAGGUCAUAGCUGAAAUUUAAAG